rnacentral:pre_miRNA from 1 species
AGAUAAUACCUGACGAACUCAUGAAUGACUGAAAAUCAUGUGUUCGAAAGGUAUUACUA